CCCAGAGGUAUUGAUUGGUGAGAAUUCUUAGUACGUACUGCGUACUCAUCUCUUGCACCAACCUGCGCAGAUGCGCAGGUUUUUUUU
rfam:Leclercia adecarboxylata strain I1 Leclercia_S84_R1__paired__contig_28, whole genome shotgun sequence.